UUUGUGGGCGGGCGGGGCGGCUCCCGCUCCUUUUAGGUGUGUGUGGGGGCGGCUCCUCUCCCCUAGCCACGAGCCACGUCUGCAAACAGCAAGCCAAGCUCUUAAAUCAAGUGAUUUUGCACUUCUGAGGUUUUUUAAAAGCACAGAAGCUGAGCCCCAUAAAUAAUGCAGCAGAUAUCAGAAAGAAGCUCGAGGUGUGGAAGACGUAGAGGAAAUCACCGGUUAUGUCUACCAGGAGACCUGAAAUAGAAGCCAAAGAGAAGAUGCACACUAAAGGCAUAAAUUGACACGAAUGUUAAACCUAAAUAAUUCAGUAAAUUACCAUACACAAAAGGUACUGAGACAGCAGUGGCCACAGGGUGAAGCCGAGGGAGACGCCGGUGGAGGCCGUGGCGUUGGCCAGCGUUCGCCACCGCAUGAAGUAGUAGCCCAGCGCAGUCACCCCUGCCUGGAAGCUGAAACAUGAUCCCAGACCUAAAGGUGAGAAUAAAAGAGUAAGUGACCA